GGUUCCAUGGAAAUUGGAAAGUCUCCUGAGCUAAACAAAACCUCCAAAGUCGAUCACACCAAUCCUUGCGCCUUCUUCCUAACCUCCAAAAGUCACCCUUCACAAUUCUCUCGUAACAACAACAUCAUCAAUGGCCGCUACCACCAACAAAGACGAAGCCAUUAGCACCAGUGCAUCUUCUUCUUCUUCUCCAGUCUUCAUAUCCACAGAGACCCUAUUCACCAUCCUUACCCAUCACACUCUGAUGAACCACCUCCAAUCCACUCUCCCCAAAGCAUCAACCAUUCUCCAAACCCCAAUUCGCCAACACCACUCUCUCUUUCCUUCCUCCUCCCUCCUCCUCAUGCCUUCAUGGUCCUCUUCCCCUUCUCUCCCUUACAUCGGCGUCAAACUCGUUACCCAUUUCCCUCAAAACUCUUCUAUCAACUUACCCGGCGUGCAGGGAAGCUAUGUCCUCUUCAGUUCCACCACCGGCCAAACCCUAGCUUCCAUGAACUCCACCGAACUCACCCUUUACAGAACCUCAUGUGUCUAAGGCUUGGCUUCCAAAUACUUAGCGAGACAUGACAGCGAGGUUCUUGUUAUGGUAGGUGCUAGUUCCUUGGCACCGCGCCUGAUCAAAGCCCAUCUUUCAGCCAUACCCAGUUUGAGAAAAGUCAUCAUCUGGAACAGAACAGUGGGAAAGGCGACAAAUUUGGUCAAAGUGGGGAAUUUGGUGGAGUGAGCUUCGAGGGUUGUGGCUGUUUGGACGAGGUUGUCGGAUUUGGGGACAUUGUGAGUUGCGCCACGAAUUCCGAGACACCCCUUGUGAAGGGUGUGAGGUUGAAGGGUGGGGCGCAUUUGGAUUUGGUGGGUUCCUUCAAGCCUUCGAUGAUGGAGUGUGAUGAUGAGGCCAUAAGGAGGGGAAAGGUUUUUGUGGACAAUGAGGCUGCAUUAGUUGAAGCAGGGGAGCUGGUGGGUGCUUUUGAGAGAGGGGUCAUCAAGAGAGAUGAAAUUGGAGGGAGUUUGGUGGAGCUUGUGAGAGGUGACAAAGUUGGGAGAAGCAGUUCUGAGCAGAUUACUGUGUUCAUGUCUGUUGGUUCUGCUGUUGUAGAUAUGCUUGCGGCAGUUUGUUUAUGAGACUUACACAAGGAGCUAGGUACACUAUCUUGAGUGUAGUUUAUGCUAUAUUGUUCAAUAAGAUUUAUCAAGUUCGUAAAUCUCACCUUGCAGUGGUUCUAAGUAGUUUAUGUAACCGAUGAUUACUGUUUCUUGAUGCUUCUAUACAACAUUUGUAAGAUGAAUAUACUUAAAACGAAGUUGUAUUUUUACCAAGGGAGAAAUUUGGCACAUGUUCAUGAAUCGUGUUAACUAUGGCAUUGCAGCUCUUUUCUCAUUUCCAAGUGCCUAGAGAGAGUUACUUUGGGAGUUAUCAGCCAUCUUGUUGGCAGCAUCAAAUAUUCAAAUAUUUAGUAUGAUUCAAUUAGAAGCAUCGCUUUAUGCCUUACUUCCCUAUGUAAAAAUUUAACUAUGAUAGGCAAAAUUGACUUGUGAGCAUAUUCUUUCUAGUGCAUUGGGCAUGUCACAAGUCAACUCAUUCUAGAAGUGAAACUUUCAAUAGGUUUUGUAAUUAGACCACUUUGUUUUUCAUGUAAUGCACGGAAGGCAGUUUCUCCUUGGAUCAUCUUAUCAAUCCUUCAUAGAACAUGUGGGAAUGGAUCCUCUCGUGUUAAACUUUCACAUAACCAUACCAUGUGAAAGUUUGUUUUAUCUAUCUUGUUCUUCAUAGAAAUUAAAUGGGUGGGACCAUAUUAAAAUUUGUGUAUAUGUAUAAAGAGAAAUAAACACAAUUUUCACGUGAUAUGGUCAUGUGAAAAUUCAACAUGAGAAGAUUCAUUCCUUACAUCAUACAUACCAAUAGAAAGAUUAAAAGCACCAAGUUGCAAAUCUACGAGCAGCAGUUUAUCUUCCAGAGCCGGACAUCGCAAGGUGUGGUGUUUGAGAAA